rnacentral:rRNA from 1 species
CCUUGUACACACCGCCCGUCAUACCAUGGGAGUUGGUUUUACCUGAAGGCGGUGCGCUAACCCGCAAGGGAGGCAGCCGACCACGGUAGGGUCAGCGACUGGGGUG